CGGCGGCCAUGAGGCGCGCGUCUCGGGCCCCGGGUUCUCCCGAGCCCCGCGGGGCGGGUCCUCCGGCCUCGCCUUUCGGGGCAGGCGUGGCCGCGCUCUCCCUGGCGCUGCUCGGCCCCGAGACCCGGACGGCGGCGGCGGCGCGCGCGGCCCGCAGGGAGUUCGCUUACUGGCAGCUACACCCGUGAGGGAUGCUGGGGUCUUGGGUAGGAACAUGACUGUCAACCUGUGAAGGUCGCCUUACCAUGUGAGCAUUGGCUAGAGUGACCGGUGGCCUCAAGAUCUGGAGUCCAGGAGGGACGGAGGUGCAGCUGUGGGCUUUGCCGCCCUGGGACCAGGCACAUGCAGCGUCUGAGGCCCGCCUGCACCAAGCCACACAGCUGCAGACUAUAUUCUGCUUUUGUUUCAAGGGUGGGCAGGCUGAUGCUGGUCCGUCCUGCUGCCUGUGGCCUCAGCCCUGGGUGGGGCUACACCACGGCUGCCUGGGGGCACCUCGUGGGACCACCGCAUGCAGAACAGACUUUGUAUCACUUUAAUCAACCCUUUUAAAGCCCCACCUCAAGGAUCACUUGAGGCCAGCCUGAGCAACAAGACCUCCGCUCUACAAAAAAUUUAAAAAUUAGCCAGUGGCAUGUGCCUGUAGUCCCAGCUCUCAGGAGGCUGAGACAGGAGGAUCACUUUAACCCAGGAGUUUUAGGUUAUGGUAAGCUAUGAUGCUGUUGUACUCCAGCCCGGGCAAGAGUGAAAAAAAAAAAAAAAGAUUAGCAUUAAGGAUAUGGGCCUUAUGGGUUGGAAUUUUAAGCAAGAGGUUUUAAAGUGAAUGGAAAGAUUUGAUGCACUUCCAAGGAGAGUAUUUCUGUGUUGGCAAAACUUGAGAAUAAAUUGGUCUUGAAUUCACUGUA